GGAGGCAGUCUCGAAAAGAGGUGGUAAGAGGACCAGGUUGGUCUACGUGGUCACUGAGUUAAAGGUGCUGCAGUUUACAACAACUUAUUAUAUUUUUUAAUAAAGAACUAUAAGAAAGGCAUUUGAAACUACCCAUCAGAAAGAAGUGAUAAAUACUUAAGGAAAUGAAAAUGCUAAUUACCCUGAUGUAAACAGUGCACAUUCUAUACACAUAUCAAAUUAUCACACUGUAUCAUAAAUAGUUAUUUUGUGUCAAUUAAAAAUAAAAAUAAUUAGGAACAGAAAAUAAAACACCAAUACUGAGCUCCUCACCUAACCAUGUUGGGAUCUAAGGGACCUCGGAAGGAAGUUUGGAAGCACAGGCAGGGGUCAAGAAGAGUUUAGAGCUCCCUCUACUCAGUGCAUUAGACACCCCCAUCCAUCACUGUCUCACUACGGUCUCUUACAAGUUCACAGGGCAGGGAUGUUCUCACUGAUUAAAGAGAGCAGUUAUUUCAGGGGAAGCAUAGGGUGCCACGGAAGAUGCCCGUAAUGACCUGGUGGUUGAAGAAAGAGAAAGAGACUUCUCAGAUACACUCUGUAAGAAUGGAACUUAGCUGAGCCACAGAGACGGCACUGUCAUAGUAGCAUAUCCAAGGAAAAGAAGUAACACUGGAGAGCACCUGGUGGCAAGAACGUGCAACAGAUUAACAGCUUAAAAAUCCAGUGUGAGGCUUCAUCGACCACGCGAAGGCACUCUGCAUGCGUGGUCAGAGUAUUCCUGAAGACAUCUGCACCUUCUGCCUGGGAAAAGAUGGUCAACAUUUUGAAAGGAGUGCUAGUAGAAUGGUUAGUAAUUUUGAUAUUUUCUGAGUUUUAAAUGUACAUAUUGAAUCUUGAUUUACAUAUGUACCUUCCCUAAAAUCGUACUUGUUUUGUUCAAAGAUCUGAAGUCAAAUCUUUCAACUUUUUCUGCUUCAGUUUUCUUAUGUAACUUGAGGGACAGAUUUUGUCGCUAUUUAUUUGAGGUGCCAAAUUUCAGUGUCUCUCUCUGUCUCUCUUUUGGUAGUGGGAUCAAACUUAUGAUCUUGGGCUUGCCAGGCAGGCACUUAUGCUGCUGAGCUAAACCUGCCCAGUAUGUCUUGAAUUAAUGUAAUUGUCAUUACAUCCCACAUUUUUUCCCCCAGUACUGGGAAUUCAAGCUGUCAGAGUGAUGGACUAUGUCUCCAGCCUUUUUUGAGGCAGGAACUUGCUGGGCUCAAACUAGGAAUCUCUUCCCUCAGCCUCCCAAACAGCAUAGAUUAUACACAUAUGCUGUCAUACAUGGCUAUGUCCAAUGAUUUUUUUUGAUUAAUGGUAGUGUAUUUGUUAGAUUAAUCCUUAAACAGGGCAGUAUUCUCAAGCCAUCAUAGAAUGAUUAGAAUUUUAACACCUGCAAAAUUCAGGAAUUUGCAGAAAUCUUUAUCAUUACCAAAAGGUCUUUAGAGAAAGAUAAAAGGCUAACAGAAGAAUUUCAAGUUUGAAGUUGCCUAGGAAACUUAGUGAGAUUUUGUCUCAAAAUUAUAAAGUGGGGGUCCAGGAAAUGGAGCCUGUGUCUCAGUGGUCCUAGGUUCAAUCUCCAGUACAGUGCCUAUCAAGAGACAUGGAGACAGACGUUGAACUCCUUUCCAUAACUUUCAAAGGAAAAACUCAAAACUAUAAUGGAUAAAGUUGAGUUCCUGAAAUCAGUCUAAUAUGUCAGGCUUAGUCUUCACCCAGUUUGAAAUCUGAACUGUUCAAUCAAUGUUGCUUAGUCUUCACUUGAUUGUUAGCCACACCAGUAAUUCUCUCAUUUAGAUUCCUGCCCCGUGGACACACUUAUUGUUUGAAAAUACUAUUACCUACCUUUCUGUGCCCCUAAUGUGGUCCCUUUCAUGGCUGACAGUACUGUUCACUGUGAUGGCAAGGCUGGAGAAGGAAGAUGGCCAAGCCUAGGAUACCUCCAACAUCUAGAGCAGUAUUUUCCAACAGAAAUAGAAGUCAAGUGUGUAUGUAGUCUUAAAUUUUCUGCUGGCCACAUUAAAAGGUAAAAUAAAACAUGAAAUGGUUUAGCUCAAGAUACACACAUAUACUAGUCUUCAAAAAAAUGUUAUACAGCUUGCUUUUGCAGCACAUAAUAUAGAGAAUAACCAUAUUUCAAGUGUUCUAUAAUGAAAUGUGACCAGCAGGCCAAUUUGUAGAUAGUGCAGAUUUAGACUUUGCCAGGAAAUGCCACCAAAAAAACAUCCAGUAUGAGUGGAGUUUUAGGUAAGAGAUGAAUCUAGAGAUCUGAGCAGUAGUCUUUUCUGGAAGGACUCUGUAAGUCACCUUAAAAAGCAUAGUAUUUAUUCUGUGAAAGCUUUUAAGAAAAGGGAAGACACUGUGAGAACCAUGUCUUAGAAAUACCACUCAGACUCCACUAUGCGAAUAUACUGCAGAAGGAUGCAAGGAGUUUAGAAGCUACUGCACUAAAUCAAGAAAGAGAAGUCACAGGGCGGCCUCAGCUGGGCCAGAGCACAGGGAUGGAGGCAGAAUGGGCAGGACUUACAGACUCACUGCACUUACCCCUGAGGUACAGGAUGAAGGCGAGUUUCUGGUUUAGCAAACAGGGUGAAGCAGGAAGGUCUUAAAAGAGCAGGCUUGUUUGAGGAGUAAAGAUACGUGAAGUUAGCAGGUUCUGGUUUGACCUUGUAAGAAUCAAGUGCACCGCAGGACAUCAGUUGGCUUUUGAGUUGUCUUCCAGAACCACAGGAGAGAGAUCUGAGCUGUGGAUGCCAACAGGAGAGGCAUCUACAGACAUACAAUCUCCAGGAAGUACAGAGAGUGAAAAGAGACAGCAUCAAUGACCAAGAAACACCAUUUAUGGCCCAUGAUGGACUAAAAGAAAGGAGACAGAAAGUGAGUAGAUGUCAGGGUUGGAGGAAAUCCAGGAGCUUGGAAUGCGAUCAAACCCAAAGGAAGACAGUAUUUUAACAAAGGCUAGAGGGGAUGGGAUACUGCUCGAUGGCAGAGCAUGUGUUUGGCAUUUUUCAAAGCUCUAGGUCAUAUCUCCAGCAUGAAGAAAAUAAAAGAGGGAAGGAAGGAAGGAGAGAGAAAGAGGGAGAGAGAGACAGAGUGAGAGAGAGACAAUAACAAGUAUUACCAGGAUGAAGAAAAACUGAAAUUCUUAUGCAUUGUUGGGAAUGUAAAGAGGAACAGCCACUGUGGGAAAUGGUACAGUGAUUCCUCAAAAUACUGAAAAGGGGAAAACCACAGGGUCCAGCAAUUCGCUUUCUAGGUAUAUACUCAAAAGAAUUGAAAGUGGGGUCUUGAAGAGAUAUUUGUAUAUCUGAGUGCAUAGAAUUACAGUAAUGUGGAUGUAAUCCUCAGGUCCACUGACAGAUGAAUGGACAAGUAAAACAUGGUAUAUCCAUAAAAUGGAAUUUUAUUCAGCCCAAAAAAGAAGGAACUUCUAACGUGCUACAUCAUGGGUGAAAUGAGAAUAUUUGGUUAUGUGAAAUAAGCCCAUCACUAAGGGAAAAUGUCCUCACUGGAUUUGGCCACCCCGAGGAAUGCAGGGACAUGCAGCCUCCAUCACGGGCCUCACAGCAGCUCCUUUAGUUCUGGUCGCAGAUGGCCCUGAAGUCUAUGGGGCCCAUCUCUAUCCACUACAGACCACACUCUAAUUAGCACAGCUCUCCUGGGACAGCCCUGUGCUGGGAGUCAGUACACUUGCUGAAGACUUUGAAGAAACCUCUGUGCCCCGCCCCCCUUAUUUCUACUCCUCUCCCUGGCAUUCUUUGUCCUCCCUUUUCUUCCACCCAUUCAUUUCCCUUCAGACUUGCUUUCUCUCCUCUAGCCUCCUUCCUUAGACCCUACUUCAGCCUCUUUCUUUAGCUAGCUCUUCUUUGCACAUUUAUCCUGAAGGGGCCUUAUCUAGUGACUCCUACAAUCUUUUGUGAGAAGCAGCACCCAGUGACCCAGUGACAUGAUAACAGACAACAAAUCAGGGUCAGGAGGCUUUUAUCCUGAAAGGGAACUUUUGUCCUUUGCUAAGCAAAGGGUUACCUUUCCCGCAAUGAAAACCUUGUUAGACUGGGACAUUCUCUAAAAUAGACCACAUACUAACCCACAGAACAUAUUUAAAUAAAUGCAAAAGAGUUGAAAUUAUCCCAUGCAUGUUAUUAGAUCAUAGUGCCAUGAAAUUAGAAGUUAAUGACAGAAGAAACUGGAAAAACCCCACAAACACAUGGAAAUUGAAUAAUGCACUCUUGAGCAAUCAGUGGGUCACAGGGGAAAUUAAAGAAGAAAUUAAACAAUACCUACAAGCAAAUAAAAAUAAAAAUACAACUUACCGGAAUUUGUGGGAUGCAAUGAAAGCAGUCAGUUCCCACGUCAGGAAAACAGAAUGAAUACAAAUAAACAACCUGAUGCUGUACCUCAAACAUCUAGAAAAAGAGCAAGUCAAGUCCAAAGCCAAAAGAAGAGAGGAAAUUAUAAAAAUCAGAGCAGAAAUUAAUGCAAUAGAGACCAAGAAAACAAUCCAAAGAAUCAAUGAAUCAAAGAGUUGGUUCAAGAAUAAAUAAAAUUGAUAAGCCCCUAGCCAAUCUAAUUAAAAAAGAAAAGAAAAAGCUCAAAUUCAUGCAAUAAGGAACGAAAAAGGUGAAAUCACUACAGACUCUGUGGAAAUACAGAAGAUCAUCAACACCUAUUUCAAAAACCUCUACUCCUAUAGGUUCGAUAACACAGAAAAAAUGGACAGAUUCCUAGAAACAUAUGAAGUACCAAAGCUGGGUCAAGAAGGUAUAAAACUGCUGAAUAAUCCAAUUUCUAUUAAUGAAAUUGAAAACGUAAUUAAGUCCUUACCUACAAAGAAGAGCCUAGGCCCAGACGGAUUCACUGUGGAAUUUUACAAGAAAUACAAAGAAGACUUAGUGCCGGCACUCCUCAAACUCUUCAAUGAAAUUGAAAGGGAAACAAUUCUUCCUAAGUCAUUUCUGGAAGCAAAUAUAACUCUAGUACCAAAACCUGAGAAAGAGCCAAAUAAAAAAGAGAACUACAGGCCAAUCUCCCUAAGGAACACAGAUGCAAAAGUCCUCAAUAAAAUAUUGGCAAACAGGAUGUAAUAAAUCAUCUAGAAGAUUAUACACCAUGACCAAGUGGGAUUCAUCCCAGGCAUGCAAGGAUGGUUCAACAUACUUAAAUCAAUAAAUGCAAUCUACCAUAUCAAUAAAGCCAAAAGUAAGAAUCACAUGAUCAUUUCUAUAGAUGCAGAAAAAGCUUUUGAUAAGGUCCAACCUCAUUCAUGAUAAGAACCUUACAGAAAAUUGGAAUAGAUGGUCUUUUCCUCAAUAUGAUAAAGACCAUCUAUGACAAACCAACAGCCAGCAUUAUAUUAAAUGGCCAAAAACUGAAGGCCUUUACUUUAAAAUCAGGCACAAGACAAGGAUGUCCCUUAUCACCACUCUUAUUCAAUAUAGCACUGGAAAUACUAGCCAGAGCAAUUAGACAAGAGAGAGAAAUAAAAGGGGUAAAAAUAGGAAAAGAGGAAGUUAAAUUAUCAUUAUUUGCAGGUGACAUGUUACUCUACAUAGAAGAUCCCCAAAACUCCAUUGAAAGACUCCUAGAUAUAAUAAAUAAAUUCAGCAAUGUAGAUGGAUACAAAAUCAAUGCUCAAAAAUCAAUAGCAUUUCUAUAUACUAACAACAAAAUUACUGAGAGAGAAAUAAGAGAAACCACAGCCUUCACACUAGCAUCCAAAAAUAUGAAAUACUUAGGAAUUAAUCUCACAAAAGAAGUAAAAGAUCUAUACAGGGAAAAUUAUAAUACCCUGAAAAAGAAGUUGAAGAUAAUCUCAGAAAAUGGAAAGACAUCCCUUGUUCAUGGAUAGGAAGAAUAAAUAUUGUGAAAAUGGCCAUUCUCCCAAAACUGUUAUAUAGAUUCAAUGCAAUCCCAAUGAAAAUACCAUCAACAUACCUCAUAGACCUAGAGAAAUCACUCCUAAAAUUCAUCUGGAACCAGAGGAGACCUAGAAUAGCAAACGCAAUUCUAGGCAGCAAAGGCAAGGCAGGAGGCAUCACAAUCCCUGACUUAAAAUUAUACUACAAAGCUACUGUAAUAAAGUCAACAUGGUACUGGAAUAAAAACAAAUAUGAAGGUCAAUGGAAUAAACUAGAAGAUACAACCACAACUACCAACACAUUCAACCAACUUAUCUUUGAUAAAGGGGCCAAACAUGUUCACUGGAAAAACUACAGUCUCUUUAAUAAAUGGUGCUGGAAAAACUGGCUCUCCAUAUGCUGAAAAUUAAAACUAUAGACCCAUGCCUAUCACCAUAUACUAAAAUAAAAUUUAAAUGGAUCAAAGAUCUGAAUUUUAAAACCAAAACACUAAAUCUGUUGGAAGACCAAGUAGGUAAACAUUUUGAAGACAUUGAGGUAGAUAGAUAAUUCAUGAACAGGAAUCAUGGGAACUACUUCCCAGAAUCAGUAACUGGGAUCAAGUCUUAUUAAAAAGUUUCUGCAUGUUAAAAGAAAUUUCCAGCAUAGUGAAAAGAAAACCCACAAACUGGGAAAAAAUAGUGAACUGUCCCUCAGACAAAGAUCUUCUGUCUAAAAUAUAUAAAGAAUUUAAAAAACUCAGACCCUCGAAAUUCAAAGACCCAAUCCAAAAAUGGGCAUCUGAGAUGAAUACACAGUUCGCAGAUGAAGAAAUACAAAUGGCAAAUAAAUACAUGAAAAAAUGUUCAUCAUAAUUAGUCAUUAGAGAAAUGCAAAUUAAAACAACACUGAGAUUCCAUCUCACUCCAGAAAGAAUGGCCAGGAUCAAGAAAACUACCAACAACAAAUGCUGGAGAGGUUGUGGGGAAAAAGGAACUCUCCUGCACUGUUGGUGGGAGUAUAGACUGGUGCAACCACUGUGGAGGUCAGUCUGGAGAUUCCUCAAAAAGCUGGGAUUGGAGGUCCCAUUCGAGCCAGCUAUUCCACUUCUGGGCAUAUUCCCAGAACUGAAAAUAUCAUACCACAGUGAUAUAUGUGCACCCAUGUUUAUAACAGCACAAUUUGUAAUGGCCAGAUCUUAGAAACAACCUAAGUGCCCAUCAACUGAGGAAUGGAUAAAAAAGUUGUGGUAUUUUUAUACAAUGGAGUACGACUCAGCUAUAAAGAAUGAUCACGUUGUGAUAUUUACUAAUAAAGGGCUCAACUUGAGACCAUACUCAUAAGUGAAAUAAAUCAAACUCACAUGUAUAAAUACCGUAUAGUCUCCCUAGUAUAAGAAAUAGGAAAGAGUACAUAAGAGUUUAUGGUAAUCAUGAUUCCCCAUUACAUUGUUUUGAAACCUUAUAAUGAUUGCAUUAGUUAGUUGUAAUGGGUUUGUCCUUGUUUGAUUUUAUUGUGAUGGUACGAACAGCUAAUUUGAGGGAAACAGGUCAUUAUAAUAGCCAGUACUGAUAUAGUAUCAUCUUACUCUGAAGUCCUACCGUGCUUUUGCUCCUCUGUUUCCAUUGGCUCUAUCAUGUUGUACCUUAUUGGAUUGUAUUACCUGUGAAAGUAUAAACAAAUUUUCUAUGGAAAAUGAGAUAAUAUAGUAGCCAUUGUUUGUUUUCUGUUAUUUGGUUCUUAAUGCCCUAUAAUACUCUCAUUCUCUUGAAUGUUUUUAUACUAUUUUGUUAUGUUUGAUACUACUGUAUAUGAAGUUAUACUCAACUAUUUCAAAGAAAGAGGCAUUGUGGUAGUUACUGUUAAUUACGGGUUGUCUUCUAGUGAAAUUCUGUGUUGCUUAUAUUGUUCUACUCUGAUCUGCUUUGUUAUAUCCUGUUUUGUCUUAAUCUCUUUAAAAUAAAAUAAGAAAACCUUGUUAGUUACUGGUCAUAGAUAAUUCAUUUGUUGAGUCUUCACGUCUUUCUGAAAUGAAAUAUAAAGCAAAAUAGCUACUGCUAGCAGAUUCUCAUUGAGUCAACCUUGUUUGUGGUAGUCACUUUCAGUAUGACAUGUAAUUUCAUUUAGGGUAUUCACAGAAUUUUUUUACAUAGAUGGUAAUUAGAUACAGUUUUAAUUUAGGAGACAAGAACAUUUUUACAAUUGACCCGGUGUUAGGGAUUGUGGAUUGCCUUAUGUUACAGAUAAGUAUUUUCAAUUUACCACACUGAUUUAAUAAUUUGACUAUUUUUCUCUAUUCAUCAUGCUAACAAGGUUUCUCUCCUGCAGGAAUGAACUCAUGAUGAAAACUGUGAUCUGACUAAAAUCUUACCACACAGCAGAUGUAUUACUGAAAAAAAAAGUUAAAGAUGUGGACUUCGAAGGCCUUACCAUACACAUCACAUGAAUAGGGAUGUUUUCACAUACAGAUUCUCACUCAACAAAUAUCCACCAAGUGGCUAUGCUGUGCCAGAUGCUGAGUUAGGAGCUGAAGACACAGAUGCGCAAAACACACACAGCUGCCUUCUCAGGGAGCUCAGUCUGGAAGGGCAGCUGUGUGGCCCAGGAGGAGUUCUUGCCACACUCUGUAUGAGGAGGGGUUUUCUCCUGUGUGGAAGUGGGCAGAUGUGAAGACUCUAGCUUACUUCUCAGGCUCUUCACCCUGUGUGGACUCUUGUGAACAUGAAGGGUUUUGCUGUAAGUGAAGCCCUUACCUUAAAUGUCAUUUAAUGUGUUCUUAUUUUUUGUGAAUUCAUCAAUAAACUCAAAGAUCUGUGCUCUUGCUGAAGCGCUUACCACAUACAUCACUUGCUAGAUUUUUUCAGUUUUACUGCCUAAAGAUUGUGAAGAUCAGAGCUCUGAUGGAAGUUCUUACCACUCUUCUCACAGCAACUGGCUUCUUUCUUGUACGGACUUUCUGAUAAGCAUGAAGAUUUGUGUUUCAAGAAUUCCAUUUCAAACAGCUCCCCUCAUGUGGACUCUCCAGUGACCUUGAGACCUGGGUUCUGACUAAGACCCAUCACUACACUUAGCACCUGGUCGAGUUGCUUCCUAGUGUGGACUCCCUGAUAAAUGUGGAGACUGGAACUCUGAUGGGGAAGCUGUGGCCACGUUCCUCACACUUAACUGGUUCCUCUACUGCCUCUCUGCUGCAGAUUUGCUCAGGAUAGUGAAGAUCUGUAUUCCGGCUGAAGCUCUUACCACACUCAGGACAGUCACAGAAUUUAUUUCCUGUGUGGAAAGGAGGAAGCUCUGAGAAUGAGAAAAUGUUUCCACAGAUGAAAAAUAUGACAGUCAGAUUAAAAAUCUCAAUGGAGGUGCAGGCAACAUACUAUCAGACUAGAGAAUAUGAAAACCAUGUUAGGCAAUUUAAAAGAUCUACUAGAAGAUUUCAGAGGAAAGGAUUCAGAGGAGAAAGAAGAUUUAAAAAGUAAAAUAAUGAGAAAAACAUUGAAUCAUAAAGAAUAGACUGAUAUACAUACAUACAUAUAUGUAUAUAUAUACAUAUAUAUCAUAUAUGUAUCAUCCAGAAGGAGAGAAUAAACAGAAAAAGAAACAAGAAGAGAAGGGCCCAACACUCUAAGAGGCAGCAAAUUAUAUGAUUGGGAGAGAGUGGGAGUACGGAGAAUAGGAAUUCUCAUGUGAAGAUAUAAACUGAUUCAAGCUUCUCAGGGACAAGUUGACCGUAAGUCCGUAAAUCUCUGGUCUACUAAAUCCUCUUCAGAAAUUUCCUACAGAAAUAGUGGAGCAAGUACUCAAAAACUACAAAAAUAUUUAUUUCAGUAUUGUUUAUGAUAGAGAACACUUGAUAACUUCAAUAUCUAUCAAUAAAAUGCCAGUUUUAAAAAUGUCAGAAUAUCAAUGCAAUGAGUUAUGACUAAAAAGACUGAGUGACUCUAAAUAUUUUAACCUGUAAAGAUAUUCAACAUAUACCAUUAACUAAGACUCAAUUUUGUAAAUUGAGGACUCAUGUUGCAGGACUCAAUUUUGUAAAUAAAACAAAUACAUAAAUAAAAAAUAUGCAUGUGUGACGGACUUCCCAUGAAGUAAGCACCGCCAUGCUGUUGGGAAAGAGCUCCAGCCAGAAGAGAAACCAGGCCUCCCAUCAAGUAAGCAUUGCCAUGUUGAUAGAGCAGAGCCCCAGCUGGAACAAAAACUGUCCUCCAGUGAGCCGGCUGGUACACGGGCUGAAAAAUAGUAGAGCACCCCACACACCCAAGACUGAUUUGGAAGACUCAGGGGGAGGCGACAUAACUCAGGGGAGGGGAGUACCUCCAUGCCUGUAUUGCCUGGUCGACUCUGCAGGCCUGGGGCUGGUGGUCUGGGCUCCUACCUGGAGGAUGGCAGUGUGCACUGUGUCAGCUGUGGGGGAUUUCCUCCUGUUUUGUUUUUGAAAUCCAAUGCUUCAUUCCAUUUUACUGUUUUGUUUUAUUCCUGUGUCUGGUAACCUGAGCAACGGUUUUGAUGAUAACAAUGUGCAGUAUUGUUCUGAUUUUUUAUUUUAUUUACUUUUUGGGACUGGAGAUCAAAUUCAUGACCUUGCGCUUAUUAGGCAGGUGCUUGUGCUGCUGAGCUGAAUUCCCAGCCCCGUUUUACUUUAUUCAAUAUUAUGCUUUGAUUGUUUUUUAUUCUGUUUUGUUUUAUUUGAUUCUGCUAUAUCUGAUGGUAUGGACAACUGCUGUACAAACAGCAAGAUACAAAAUGAUAACCACUGUUGAUUUCCUAUUGUCCUGUUUUGAAUUUCGGUACCACUUUCACUUUGUGUUUUGAUUGGCUUUAUUCUGUUUUACUGGGUCUUGCUCUCUUUAAAAUAAAAUAAAAUAAAAAUGUG